rnacentral:rRNA from 1 species
AACUUGCUUCUCUUGACAGCGGCGGACGGGUGAGUAAUGCCUAGGAAUCUGCCUAGGGGUGGGGGAUAACGUUCGGAAACGGACGCUAAUACCGCAUACGUCCUACGGGAGAAAGCGGGGGACCUUCGGGCCUCGCGCCAUUAGAUGAGCCUAGGUCGGAUUAGCUAGUUGGUGAGGUAACGGCUCACCAAGGCGACGAUCCGUAACUGGUCUGAGAGGAUGAUCAGUCACACUGGAACUGAGACACGGUCCAGACUCCUACGGGAGGCAGCAGUGGGGAAUAUUGGACAAUGGGCGAAAGCCUGAUCCAGCCAUGCCGCGUGUGUGAAGAAGGUCUUCGGAUUGUAAAGCACUUUAAUUUGGGAGGAAGGGUAGUAACUUAAUACGUUGCUAUUUUGACGUUACCGACAGAAUAAGCACCGGCUAACUUCGUGCCAGCAGCCGCGGUAAUACGAAGGGUGCAAGCGUUAAUCGGAAUUACUGGGCGUAAAGCGCGCGUAGGUGGUUCAGUAAGUUGGAUGUGAAAUCCCCGGGCUCAACCUGGGAACUGCAUCCAAAACUGCUGAACUAGAGUACGGUAGAGGGUGGUGGAAUUUCCUGUGUAGCGGUGAAAUGCGUAGAUAUAGGAAGGAACACCAGUGGCGAAAGCGACUACCUGGACUGAUACUGACGCUGAGGUGC